rnacentral:rRNA from 1 species
AGUCAACCUACCCUAUGGACGAGAAUAAUCUCGGGAAACUGAGCAUAAUUCUCGAUAGAUCAUAAUGCCUGGAAUGGUUUAUGGUUAAAAUGAUUCGUCGCCAUAGGAUGGGACUGCGGCCUAUCAGCUUGUUGGUGAGGUAAUGGCCCACCAAGGCGAUUACAGGUACGGGCUCUGAGAGGAGAAGCCCGGAGAUGGGUACUGAGACAAGGACCCAGGCCCUAUGGGGCGCAGCAGGCGAGAAAACUUUGCAAUGUGCGAAAGCACGACAAGGUUAAUCCGAGUGAUUUCUGCUAAAGAAAUCUUUUGUCAGCCAUAAAAUCACUGGCGAAUAAGGGGUGGGCAAGUUCUGGUGUCAGCCGCCGCGGUAAAACCAGCACCUCAAGUGGUCAGGAUGAUUAUUGGGCCUAAAGCAUCCGUAGCCGGCUUUGUUAGUUUUCGGUUAAAUCCAUGUGCUCAACGCAUGGGCCGCCGAAAAUACUGCAGUGCUAGGGAGUGGGAGAGGUAGACGGUACUCAGUAGGAAGGGGUAAAAUCCUUUGAUCUAUUGAUGACCACCUGUGGCGAAGGCGGUCUACCAGAACACGUUCGACGGUGAGGGAUGAAAGCUGGGGGAGCAAACCGGAUUAGAUACCCGGGUAGUCCCAGCUGUAAACGAUGCAGACUCGAUGAUGCAUUGGCAUAUAGCCAGUGCAGUGUCGCAGGGAAGCCGUUAAGUCUGCCGCCUGGGAAGUACGUACGCAAGUAUGAAACUUAAAGGAAUUGGCGGGGGAGCACCACAAGGGGUGAAGCCUGCGGUUC